CACAAGUGACUUACCAGGAACCUAACAGCUAACAAGUGGAUUGAGCUCAAGAAACAUGGCUCCAAUUUCCACUAUCCCAUGACUCCUCCAAAGAAGACCAUGACUUUCUGAAAAAGGGCAAGGACUGAUGAAAUCAUCAGCUCAUCAUGAGAAUAAAAAGAAGGAAGGAAGCUUCGCUUCAUCUAAUUUCUAAGUUGGCAGAUGCAAAUAAUGAUGCCUACUUCAUAGCAGAGAUGGGAGAUAGCUGCUUGCAAAGUGCUUUCCUGGGUGUCUACUACCAGGUAAAUGUUUGACCCUCUCCUCUUGUGGGUAACCACUUAAAGCCUUAGGCUUCAACCUUGAUUUGAAUCCUUAAAUUUUAGCUCUGCUGGCACUUGUCUGAAACUGCAGCUGCCCCUAGGGAGUGGAGCCUGUUGGAAGCCAGUCCUCUUCCCGCUCCUUCCUGCUUUUCCUGUCUCCCUAGGUCCUGGCAUUCCACCUACUCCCAGGAUUAGUACUGCCUACCCCUUGCUUCAGACUGCCACAGCUCUCCAUCAUCAACCUGCCCAGAGGAUCUGCCCUAACAUUCCCUGCACAGGCUCUGAUGACAAGGGUGGAAACAAGUUUCUGUUCUGAUAAAAACUCAGUCACAAAAGUUCCAGGCAUUUCUGCUGAAUCCCUGUAUAAUUGGACUUAACAAAAGACAAACCCGAUCAUGUCAUGUUCUUGAUUAAAAUCUGCCUCAUAUUUCC
rnacentral:lncRNA from 1 species